CCCCCCUCCCACACCCCUCCAGCAACCCUGUGUUUGUUCUCCAUAUUUAAGAGUCUCUUAUGUUUUGUCCCCUUUUCUGUUGAGGAACCUAAGAGUUGUGGGGAACUUAAAAAUUAGACCUAAGCAAAUCGAAACUUAACUGGUCUGUGCUAUUUCUAUAACAGUAUGAGUCCCAGGGAAAAUGAAACUUAACCUGCCCCGCUUGUUCUGCUUCUGUACACACGCUUGGGGCGCUAUGUGAAGGGGGGGGUCAGCCAUGUGGCUCGACAUUGGGGCGGGGAGUACUGGAUGUUCAAAUUGUGGCGGGACACAAUCAGGGAAUGCCGAACGUCUGCUCUUAAAUAUCGGCCAAUGUAAGCGCUGUAACAAUGGAACGCCCCUGACUUGUUUGGGCAGGCCUAUGAAAAGGACGGGUGCCGCCUGCACGGGGCUCUCUGGCUCUCCCCACCGCACCAGCUUGGAGGGAGCAGAGGACCCAGGUUCGAACCUGCGAUAAGCGACCCUUGCUGUUUGGCUUUGACUCUGGACUCUGGUGGUUCACUUUUGGGGGGGUCUCCCGAGUUUCGGGCAUUACAUUUGGGGGCUUGUCUGGGAUUUUCUCCCUCAAAGCCCACCAGACCCCAAGUCAAUGGGUCAUUUCCGACACCGAUAGUUGUUUCCUCUAACCCCAAGGAGCAAAGACAAAGCUUUCACCCAGAAGCUCCUUGCCCGCGCCUCCCCGCACGAAUCCAGACAGCAGACAAGACAGUCCCUGGGCCUGAUCGGGACCGACAAAACACCGCCUGGACCUGACCAGGACAACAUCACUUGGACCGAGAUAAGACCUGCACCGACCAGCCAUUAUGCUCGCUACACUUGUCCUUCUCUUAGCCUUACACAUAUUGUCUGUAAAUCCCAACCCGCAUCAGCCCUUCAAUCUAACCUGGGUCAUCGUUAGCACCUACACAGGGGAUAUCCUAGCGCGAAAUUCCUCUGUAGCCCCCAAAAACACUUGGUUCCCAGACCUCACUCUCGACUUACAAGACCUUGAAUGGGAAAAGACUGACAGCUACAAUCCCGCCAGCUCCCUCUUAAAAGAACAAUGGUUUUAUGUUUGCCCCGGACAUAAGAACAGUAACCGGGCCUGGAGGCAAAAGUGCGGGGGAAAUGAUUACUUUUUCUGCGCAGCUUGGGCAUGUGUCAGCACCGGGGACAUCUGGUGGUCUCCACCUGUUAAGGAUGACUUAAUCACCAUCCGCAGGGCAGACUCAAGGCCUAAAGAUUACUUGAGGGCAGAUACACGAUGGAAAAAACAUUGCAGCCGUAACAAUAAAUGCAACCCAAUAGUUAUUUCCUUUACAGAAAAAGGAAAAUCUGACGGCCGAUGGGAAGCUGGCAACUCAUGGGGACUACGUAUGUACACUUCACGGCAAUCCCUCCCAGGAGCCCUUUUUACUAUACGGCUCCUCGUUCGACCAAUUACAACCAUUAGCGUAGGACCCAAUCAGAUAAUAAACAGGCCCGUAAGACUCCCCACACAGGCAAAUAGGCUGCGCCCCUCCACCUCAAUGCCACCGACCAAGCAGACCACCCACGCCACUGAAAUGACCAAGUUGUCCUACAGAACCGAAGGGGGUUAGAUCCGCUUUUUCUCCAGCAGGGAGGUCUAUGUGCAGCCUUAAAGGAAGAAUGUUGUUUUUAUGCUGACCACACGGGGGUGGUUCGAAAUUCUAUGGCCAAAGUCAGAGAGGGGCUAGCUAAACGAGAACGGGAACAACAGGGAUGGUCUGAAUCCUGGUUUAACCAGUCCCCCUGGCUAACAACGCUACUUUCUGCUGUAGCUGGACCCCUAAUCCUCCUAUUUCUCCUCCUAACUCUUGGACCGUGCGUUAUCAACAAAGUCACCACCUUUAUUCGUGACCAACUCAGCAACAUCUCAGUCAUGGUCCUCAGAACCCAAUAUCAACCCCUAGACAUAGAGACUGAACUACAAUAAAUCCGUAACAAAGGAUCCAAGACUGGAUCCUCCGGUACAAGAGACAGGGGGGAAUGAGGAACCUAAGAGUUGUGGGGAACUUAAAAAUUAGACCUAGGCAAACUGAAACUUAACUGGUCUGUGCUAUUUCUGUAACAGUAUGAGUCGCAGGGAAAAUGAACUUAACCUGCCCCGCUUGUUCUGCUUCUGUACACACGCUUGGGGCGCUAUGUGAAGGGGGGGGUCAGCCAUGUGGCUCGACAUUGGGGCAGGGAGUACUGGAUGUUCAAAUUGUGGGACACAAUCAGGGAAUGCCGAACGUCUGAUCUUAAAUAUCGGCCAAUGUAAGCGCUGUAACAAUGGAACGCCCCUGACUUGUUUGGGCAGGCCUAUGAAAAGGACGGGUGCCGCCUGCACGGGGCUCUCUGGCUCUCCCCACCGCACCAGCUUGGAGGGAGCAGAGGACCCAGGUUCGAACCUGCGAUAAGCGACCCUUGCUGUUUGGCUUUGACUCUGGACUCUGGUGGUUCACUUUUGGGGGUCUCCCGAGUUUCGGGCAUUACACUGUUUUUAUAGUA